CCACCCGCCCCCUGCAUACCGACGCGGACCCGUGAAUACGACUAAAUUCUCUCCCUAUACAGCGCCCUGCUCGUUCGCUCUAAUGGAUUGGGUGCAAGGAGGCGAUUCAAUGGCGCCGGCGCUUGCCGCCCCGGGAACCUCUCCGGCGGACGGCUGUAGAUCUUGGACUGGAAGGAUCCGGAACACCCCCGCGCGCCGAGCGUCUGCCUGCUUCUAUUCCCCAAGCACGCGAGCGUCCGCCCCAUCCCUUUUCCCUAAAGAACUUCUCCAUCUUCAUCCAUCGACGGGAGCCGGGCGGAUUCAGAAACAGGUCCGGCGGCUGGAACGCGAGGAUCUCGUUACGCCCUGGUCCUAGGCCAUGGAGUUCCCUAAUUGCAAAAACCCGCCUGCCGUAUGUGGAGAUCUUGAAGGACCGUCUUGCCAUGUUUCAGUUCCGAUGACAACCUUCUAUUGGGUUGAAGCUCUAAGAUGGCACAAGAGAACUACUGGAGUACGAAGUGAUGGUUGAUCAUGGAGUUAUGAGGACCAGGAAUCAUGGGGAUGGCUGGCGUGAGGCAGACGCCACUUCGUUGCUUUGAAUGGCCUAUCCCUCAUGAAGCGCGAGCUCGUCGACCAUUGCAUGUACACGAGGGGUAUACAUCAGUUUGAAUAUUCAGAGAUGAAAAAGAUGAUUAGAUGUGCAUUCGGGGCUUUGGAAGACGUAUGAUGCAUCUUUGUGCACAAGAUGAAUGGAGUUGACAUUAAAGAUGGCUACAUGAGGAUCCCGAAGAAUGAUCUCAUUGAGAGCAAUGCGGGCGUCUUGGACGAUUCAGGGAUCAUUCUUGUGCAUGAUGAUGCAGGAGCCCAUGUAACGGCAUUGUUCAAGAAAUCAAAAGAUGGCAGGCUUGUAAUUGAAGGAGGUUUUCGGAAGUAUGUCAUACACAUCCAAAUGAAGGAAGAUGAUCUUGUGGUCGUCACAUUCCACGAACGCGCUGGGACUGCGUCAAUGACUGUCCGAGUGUGCAUCAUAUCUUAAAACACCUAUGUGGUGUCUAGUGUAUGGUUGGGGCACAGACUAUGAAUCGUUCUGUGCUAUAUUGUGUGAUCGUGCAUCUGCGCAAUGCUUGCUCUUUUGUUAAAUCCAUGAAUCUGUAACUUGUAGCCCCUUAUGCGUGGUAUGUGACUGUGACGUUUGCACCUAUGCAUCCCCGUCGACUAAUUAUCAUCUUGGUUUGCAUGUUUUUUCUAA